rnacentral:rRNA from 1 species
UAAUACACGAAAAGGAACGAGACCUUGACCAGCUAAAUGAAGGGGAGUGGUUGUAUCACUCGUCUUCUUCUAAGGGGGACUGGCUACUUCUAGUAGUAGGUAGUUGGCGACAACAACUGUUUGAUGAUGUCAUAAGUUGUUGUGGGCACCCCGCGCGCUACGAUGACUAAGGCAGGGUGUAUACCCUUGCCGGAAAGUCUGGGUAAUUCUUGAAAACUUUGUCGUGCUGGGGAUAGAUCAUUGCAAUUAUUGGUCUUCAACGAGGAAUUCCUAGUAAGCGCAAGUCAUCAGCUUGCGUGAUACGUGCCGGCCCCUUGA